rnacentral:rRNA from 1 species
GGACGAACGCUGGCGGCGUGCUUAACACAUGCAAGUCGAGCGGUAAGGCCCUUUCGGGGGUACGACGAGCGGCGAACGGGUGAGUAACACGUGGGUGACCUGCCCUCAGCUCUGGGAUAAGGCCUGGGAAACCGGGUCUAAUACCGGAUAUGACUCCAUGACGCAUGUUGUGGGGUGGAAAGCCUUGUGCGGGCUGAGGAUGGGCCCGCGGCCUAUCAGCUUGUGGUGGGGUGAUGGCCUACAAGGCGACGACGGUAGCCGG